rnacentral:rRNA from 1 species
GUGGGGAAUCUUCCGCAAUGGACGAAAGUCUGACGGAGCAACGCCGCGUGAGUGAUGAAGGUCUUCGGAUUGUAAAGCUCUGUUAAUCGGGACGAAAGAGCCUAGUGUGAAUAAUGCUAGGAAGUGACGGUACCGGAAUAGAAAGCCACGGCUAACUACGUGCCAGCAGCCGCGGUAAUACGUAGGUGGCAAGCGUGGUCCGGAAUUAUUGGGCGUAAAGCGCGCGCAGGCGGAUCUGCCAGUCUGUCUUAAAAGUUCGGGGCUUAACCCCGUGAUGGGAUGGAAACUACAGAUCUAGAGUAUCGGAGAGGAAAGUGGAAUUCCUAGUGUAGCGGUGAAAUGCGUAGAGAUUAGGAAGAACACCGGUGGCGAAGGCGACUUUCUGGACGACAACUGACGCUGAGGCGCGAAAGCGUGGGGAGCAAACAGGAUUAGAAACCCCGGUAGUCC